GGGAGCACCCUGGGAAACAGUGUGGCUACGACUUGGAGCUGCUCACCAGUUCCAGUCAUUCUGUGGUUGAGAGCUGCUCCCUAUGGAUGUUAAUUCUUCUCCAUUUUAGAUUUUCCACAGGUGUGGGCCCCAUUAGCUCUGGCCACCUGAGAAAGCCCUCAGGCAAAGAGUCACAGGUGAAAGCCAGCAGUUAGAGGUUCACAGAAAUGAGUGCAGAAGCAUCUUCAGUUGGAGAGCCAUUGCCUCUUGCUGUGCAAUAUUUGGGAAUCUUCAGAAACCAUGCAGAAUAACCUGCUAAAGCUGAGCUGGGGCUCUGCCUGGAUAUAACUUAUGGCCUAUUCUAUAUGGAAAGUUGGUUUUCUCACAGUUCCACUCCCUUCCCAGAUAUCAGCAAAUGGCCCUCCUAGCCGAGAAGUCUCCAGAGAGGGUUUUAUUUUGUCACUCAAGCUGGAAUGCAGUGGUGUGAACAUUGCUUCCUGCAGCUUCAGUCUCCUGAGGUCAAUCUUCUCACCUCAGCCUCGCAAGCAGCUAGGACUACAGGCAUGUGCCACCAUGCCCCACUAAUUUUUUAAUUUUUCUUUUGUGGAGAUGCAGUCUUGUUAUCUUGAACAGGCUUGUUAUCUUGUUAUCUUGUUAUAUUGAACAGGUUUGUUAUCUUGAACUCUUGGAGUCAAGCAAUCCUUCUGCCUCAGACUCUCAAAGUGCUGGGAUUACAGGCAUGAGCCACCACAUUCAGCCAGGAAAAGUUUUUGUACAUUUAAAAAAUUACAGGAUAUUUGUGUAUAUAGCUUUGCUGGUUUGACUUCCUAGAAUAGCUCCCAGGAACACAAAGUACUUAAUUGAUU
rnacentral:lncRNA from 1 species